rnacentral:rRNA from 1 species
CCUACGGGUGGCAGCAGUGGGGAAUAUUGCACAAUGGGGGAAACCCUGAUGCAGCAACGCCGCGUGGGUGAAGGAGCGUUUCGGCGCGUAAAGCCCUGUCAGCGGGGAAGAAGAAAGACGGUACCCGACCAAGAAGCCCCGGCUAACUAAGUGCCAGCAGCCGCGGUAAUCCGUAGGGGGCGAGCGUUAUCCGGAAUUACUGGGUGUAAAGGGAUCGUAGACGGCGAGGUAAGCCGGAAGUGGAAGCCCGCGGCCCAACCGCGGAACUGCUUUGGGAACUGUUGUGCUGGAGGAUGGGAGGGGUAAGCGGAAUUCUUGGUGUAGCGGGGAAAGGCGUAGAUAUCAGGAGGAACACCGGUGGCGAAGGCGGCUUACUGGACCAUAACUGACGUUGAGGCUCGAAAGCGUGGGGAGCGAACAGGAUUAGAUACCCUGGUGUC